CGCUGCUGCUGCUCUCCCCUGCGCUUUUGCCUCGGACCGUCGGAACGUCGUGCAACGGGACGCUGCUGGAUCCUGGUCGGGGCUGGCUGAGCAUAAGGAGCUGGGAGAAGACAGAUCCAGGAUAGCUGACCUAAACUGGCCAAAGGGAUAUUCCAUGUCAUAUGGGAUCAUGUGAAAACACUAUAAAACUGAGGGGAGUUGGCUGGGGGGCCGCCGCUACUCAAGGACUGGCUGGGCAUUGGUCGGCAUGUGGUAUGAGACAGAUUGGUUUGUAUUUUGGACAUACUAAAGGCCCUGCUGAAGACUGUAAUUUUUUUCUCCUGUUUUACUGACUAUAAUUGUUGUUUUUGGGAGCUGUUGUGCUGAAGAUUAUUCAAAACAGAAAUUUAUAGCAAUUAACUUUUUUCUUUGGAUGAUUCAUCAAUCAUGAAUGGCACUGAAUGACUAUCAGACUUGCAAGAGACCUCUCAGUAACCUAUGGAGUCAUGGAAAUACCAACUUUCAGCAGACGAAGUAUCACUAGGCUUCAUUUGUUUCUAGCCUACAGAGACAUUCACCUCCAAGCACUGUCUCAGGCUUUUGGAUUUCGUAAGUCUACUUCCUUGAAGUUAUUUAUACUGUUUUUUUCACUUCAUACAAAAUAAACCUACCUUUAGCAUCCUUGAGCACUUCUGGGUUCUAGAAUCAUUAAAUCUGGAGGAAGUAACAUUUUUAUGGAAACAAACAAACAAACAACAACAACAAAAAAACCCUAUACUAUCUCAUCUUUAAACCAUAUUGAGAGGGAAUAAAAGAAAAAAAUGAAGUCUGUAAGUGACCGGUUAUGGUUUUACAUCUAUUUACAAACAAAAAGAAAUGAAUUCUGGGUAAAACAAAGAGAAUGAACUACUCUAUGAAGUUCUUGUCACCAAGAAAUAUCUUAGCAUAGAUUUAUCUAUCCCAGGAUAUUUCCAGUGGAACAAUCAUCAGUUUUGUGAUUUCUUCAAAUCCCUGAGUAAGUAGGAUAUCUUUUUUACAGAUUUACUUUAUGCAAUUUUGAAAAAAAAAAAAAUAUGCAAGCAGAAGUAAUUUCUUCAGCACAUGGAAUGAUUUCACACAAGGACCCUGCUACUCCAGAUCGGGUAGCAGAGGUCUGCAGUGUCACACACAGGUUACAUUCUUUUGUAAAUGGCAAUGACACUCCAACUAGCUUUUUCUUACCUCACAAAAAGAAUCAGAUCUGAGACACGUUUCAGAUGCCCACUAUGUAUUCCACACUUACUAGCUGAUGUUUUUGAGAUUGUACCACAUGUAAAAUUUAUUAUCUUGAUGUUUAGUUAUAA
ensembl:lncRNA